CUACGGGCGGCUGCAGUGGGGAAUAUUGCACAAUGGGCGAAAGCCUGAUGCAGCAACGCCGCGUGAGGGACGACGGCCUUCGGGUUGUAAACCUCUUUUAGCAGGGAAGAAGCGAAAGUGACGGUACCUGCAGAAAAAGCACCGGCUAACUACGUGCCAGCAGCCGCGGUAAUACGUAGGGUGCAAGCGUUGUCCGGAAUUAUUGGGCGUAAAGAGCUCGUAGGCGGUUUGUCGCGUCUGCUGUUAAAAUCCGAGGCUCAACCUCGGACCUGCAGUGGGUACGGGCAAACUAGAGUGCGGUAGGGGAGAUUGGAAUUCCUGGUGUAGCGGUGGAAUGCGCAGAUAUCAGGAGGAACACCAAUGGCGAAGGCAGAUCUCUGGGCCGUAACUGACGCUGAGGAGCGAAAGCGUGGGGAGCGAACAGGAUUAGAUACCCUGGUAGUC
rnacentral:rRNA from 1 species